rnacentral:rRNA from 1 species
UUCCGGUUGAUCCCGCCGGAGGUCACUGCUAUUGGAGUUCGAUUAAGCCAUGCAAGUCGAGAGGGUUAGACCCUCGGCGGACGGCUCAGUAACACGUGGGUAAUCUACCCUCGGGACAGGAAUAACCCCGGGAAACUGGGGAUAAUACCUGAUAGGUGGAGAGGUCUGGAAUGAUUCUUCGCUUAAAGCCCCGGCGCCUGAGGAUGAGCCUGCGCCUGAUUAGGUUGUUGGCGGUGUAAUGGACCACCAAGCCGAAGAUCAGUACGGGCAGUGAGAGCUGUAGCCCGGAGAUGGGGGCUGAGACACGGCCCCAGGCCCUACGGGGCGCAGCAGGCGCGAAAACUCCGCAAUGNUCGAAAGAACGACGGGGGAACUCCAAGUGCACUUGCGCAAGUAAGUGGUUUUUAGUAGU